rnacentral:rRNA from 1 species
UACGAGGGGGCUAGCGUUGUCGUGAAUACUGGGCGUAAAGCGCACGUAGGCGGCUUUGCAAGUUAGAGGUGAAAGCCCAGGGCUUAACCCUGGAAUUGCCUUUAAGACUGCAUCGCUAGAAUCGUGGAGAGGUGAGUGGAAUUCCGAGUGUAGAGGUGAAAUUCGUAGAUAUUCGGAAGAACACCAGUGGCGAAGGCGACUCACUGGACACGUAUUGACGCUGAGGUGCGAAAGCGUGGGGAGCAAACAGG